GACGAACGCUGGCGGCGUGCUUAACACAUGCCAGUCGAACGGAAAGGCCCUGCUUGCCGGGUGCUCGAGUGGCGAACGGGUGAGUAACACGUGGGUGAUCUGCCCCUUACUUUGGGAUAAGCCUGGGAAACUGGGUCUAAUACUGGAUAGGACCAUGCUGUAGGUGGUGUGGUGGAAAGAUUAGUUUCGGUAAGGGAUGAGCUCGCGGCCUAUCAGCUUGUUGGUGGGGUAAUGGCCUACCAAGGCGUCGACGGGUAGCCGGCCUGAGAGGGUGGACGGCCACAUUGGGACUGAGAUACGGCCCAGACUCCUACGGGAGGCAGCAGUGGGGAAUAUUGCACAAUGGGCGCAAGCCUGAUGCAGCGACGCCGCGUGGGGGAUGACGGCCUUCGGGUUGUAAACUCCUUUCAGCCAUGGCGAAGCCCUUGUGGUGACGGUAGUGGUAGAAGAAGCACCGGCUAACUACGUG
rnacentral:rRNA from 1 species